GGACAAAAUGGAGUGCUUUCAGAAGUGGCAGAGAGACAUUUCGAAGUUUGUCUGGCAGGGCAAAAAGCCCAGAAUUAAGUUUAAGAUACUAACUGAUGCAAAACAAAGAGGGGGCUUUGCCCUGCCGGACUUAAAGUUGUAUUACGAAGCCGCAGCGUUCUGCUGGCUAAAAGAUUGGCUACUUCUUGAAGACACUGAUGUGUUGGAUUUGGAGGGGUUUAACAAUGUUUUUGGAUGGCAUGCAUAUUUAUGGUAUGACAAAGUUAAAGCAAAUAAGGCCUUUAAGAACCAUAUUGUUAGAAAAUCACUGUUUAAUGUCUGGACAAAAUAUAAAGACUUGCUGGAAAAUAAAACACCAAGGUGGCUUUCACCUUUGGAAGCUAAGGCCCGAAAAAGACCCAAUAUGGAGGCCAAAUGGCCAAAAUAUUGGGAAAUACUAGAAAAGAUGGAGACAAUUGGAAAUUGCAGAGUUUGGAGAAAAUGAAAGACAAAGUGCGAGAUUGGUUACACUAUGCUCAGAUUAAAGAAGUUUUUAAAAAUGAUAAGAAACUAGGGUUCCAGGUGGAGAAAUCGAAAUUAGAAACAGAAUUGUUAGAACC